AGAGUUUGAUCCUGGCUCAGAUUGAACGCUGGCGGCAUGCUUUACACAUGCAAGUCGAACGGCAGCACGGGGGCAACCCUGGUGGCGAGUGGCGAACGGGUGAGUAAUAUAUCGGAACAUAUCCGGAAGUGGGGGAUAACGUACCGAAAGGUACGCUAAUACCGCAUAUGCCCUGAGGGGGAAAGGGGGGGAUCGCAAGACCUCUCGCUUUCGGAGUGGCCGAUAUCGGAUUAGCUAGUUGGUGAGGUAAAGGCUCACCAAGGCGACGAUCCGUAGCUGGUCUGAGAGGACGACCAGCCACACUGGAACUGAGACACGGUCCAGACUCCUACGGGAGGCAGCAGUGGGGAAUUUUGGACAAUGGGCGAAAGCCUGAUCCAGCCAUGCCGCGUGAGUGAAGAAGGCCUUCGGGUUGUAAAGCUCUUUCAGACGGAAAGAAACGGU
rnacentral:rRNA from 1 species